rnacentral:rRNA from 1 species
UACGUAGGGGGCUAGCGUUGUCCGGAAUCAUUGGGCGUAAAGCGCGUGUAGGCGGUCCGGUAAGUCCGCUGUGAAAGUCGGGGGCUCAACCCUCGAAUGCCGGUGGAUACUGUCGGGCUAGAGUACGGAAGAGGCGAGUGGAAUUCCUGGUGUAGCGGUGAAAUGCGCAGAUAUCAGGAGGAACACCAAUUGCGAAGGCAGCUCGCUGGGACGUUACUGACGCUGAGACGCGAAAGCAUGGGGAGCGAACAGG